rfam:Picea glauca, whole genome shotgun sequence.
ACAUGCAUGCAACAUAGCGUUAAUGCACUAGAUCCCAUUAGAACUCCAUAGUUAAGCAUGCUUAGGCUACAGUAGUACUGGGAUGAGUGACUGCCCGGGAAGUCCUAGUGUUUUACAUGCC